rnacentral:rRNA from 1 species
AAUCCUGGUUGAAGAUGGGUGGACCAUCAUCCAAGGCUAAAUACUACUUACUGACCGAUAGUGAACCAGUACCGUGAGGGAAAGGUGAAAAGAACCCCGGAGAGGGGAGUGAAAUAGAAUCUGAAACCGUUUGCGUACAAGCAGUGGGAGCAUUUCUUCGGAGGUGUGACUGCGUACCUUUUGUAUAAUGGGUCAGCGAGUUACUUUCAGUGGCGAGGUUAACUGCAUAAGGGAGCCGUAGAGAAAUCGAGUCUGAAUAGGGCGAUAGUCGCUGGGAGUAGACCCGAAACCGGGCGAUCUAGCCAUGUGCAGGAUGAAGGUUGGGUAACACCAACUGGAGGUCCGAACCGGGUAAUGUUGAAAAAUUAUCGGAUGACGUGUGGCUAGGAGUGAAAGGCUAAUCAAGCCCGGAGAUAGCUGGUUCUCCCCGAAAGCUAUUUAGGUAGCGCCUCGUGAAUGAUUACUGGGGGUAGAGCACUGUUUCGGCUAGGGGGCUGUCAUGGCUUACCAAACCGAUGCAA